rnacentral:rRNA from 1 species
AGGUUGGCUCAGAAGCAGCCAUCCUUUAAAGAGUGCGUAACAGCUCACUAGUCGAAUGACUCUGCGCCGAUAAUUUACCGGGGCUAAGCAUACUACCGAAGCUAUGGAUCCCAAGGGAUGGUAGGGGAGCGUUCCAUGAACGGAGAAGUACGACCGAAAGGACGUGUGGAGAUCAUGGAAGAGAGAAUGCCGGUGUGAGUAGCGGAACGUGGGUGAGAAUCCCACGCACCGAAAACCCAAGGUUUCCAGAGGAAGGUUCGUCCGCUCUGGGUAAGUCGGGACCUAAGGCGAGGCCGAAAGGCGUAGUCGAUGGACAACAGGUAGAGAUUCCUGUACCCGUAUAUAUGUGAAGGAAUGACGGAGAGAGGAAGCUGCAGCCAGCGGCUGGAAGAGCUGGUGCAAGCGAGAUAUCGGGAUGGCAGGCAAAUCCACCAUCCGAAACGAGAAGGCGUGAAGCGUACGGAAAGCUACGGCGAGUACGGAAGGCAGUGGAGGAACUUCCAAGAAAAGUUUCUAACGUAAAGUAUAUAUGGCCCGUACCGAAAAUGGACACACAUGGGUGAGGAGAGAAUCCUAAGGUGAGCGAGAGAACUAUAGCUAAGGAACUCUGCAAAAUGACUCCGUAACUUAGGGAGAAGGAGUGCUCAUAGAGAUAUGAGCCGCAGUGAAACGGCCCAAGCGACUGUUUACCAAAAACACAGCUCUCUGCUAAGCCGCAAGGCGAAGUAUAGGGGGUGACGCCUGCCCGGUGCUGGAAGGUUAAGGGGAGGGGUUAACGCAAGUGAAGCCCUGAACUGAAGCCCCAGUAAACGGCGGCCGUAACUAUAACGGUCCUAAGGUAGCGAAAUUCCUUGUCAGGUAAGUUCUGACCCGCACGAAAGGCGUAACGAUUUGGGCGCUGUCUCAGCUGUAGACUCGGUGAAGUCUUAGUACCUGUGAAGAUGCAGGUUACCCGCGACUAGACGGAAAGACCCCAUGGAGCUUCACUGCAGGUUGAUAUUGGGAUUUGAUGCAGCAUGUACAGGAUAGGUAGGAGGCAAAGAGAUGGAUACGCCAGUAUUCAAGGAGCCGCUGUUGGGAUACUACCCCUGUUGUAUUGGAUUUCUAACCGGACGACGUAGAGCCGUUGACGGGACAGUGUCAGUCGGGCAGUUUGACUGGGGCGGUCGCCUCCCAAAGAGUAACGGAGGCGCCCAAAGAUACCCUCAGCUUGGAUGGAAACCAAGCGCAGAGUGCAAAGGCAAAAGGGUGUUUGACUGCGAGACCCACAAGUCGAGCAGGGAC